rfam:Papilio machaon contig57417, whole genome shotgun sequence.
AAGGAAUCUGAAGAACAGCAUCGGAGUUUUUUCUGUGGAAAGUCCUCGGAAACCUUCUGAAAGAGAACCUUAAUCGGAUUUGUUUCGUAAAAAUAGUUUAAUGCUGUUGGGUAUUGUUCUACUUAACUGAAUGAGGCUUACUCUCAGAUUCCU